GGAAACUUGGUUAGAAGCCAGAGAAAUGUAAAAUGAUUUCUAGUUUCUGAGGAAGGUCCGCACAUCCUUUGCGAUUGAUUUCGUAAAGACAAAAUCAUCGUCGAAAGACGGCCGUCGUGAGGCGAGGGCUCUGAUACAGAGACGAGCGUAUUAAAUUACGAUGAAACGAUCACCCUGAUUGAUGCAACUUGAGAAGAAGUUGUCAAAGACAGAAAUGUUGAGAUGAUUUUUUCAUUACCAAGGCUUAGUUUGAUGUUGACACGGAAUGUUUGAAUAAGACCAAAUUCCGACAGAAAGUGGCCUAUGUCC
rnacentral:misc_RNA from 1 species